rnacentral:rRNA from 1 species
UUCCAGACUCCUACGGGAGGCAGCAGUGGGGAAUAUUGCGCAAUGGGCGAAAGCCUGACGCAGCGACGCCGCGUGAGGGAUGAAGGUCUUCGGAUCGUAAACCUCUGUCAGCAGGGAAGAACGGUCACUGUGCUAAUCAGCAGUGAAUUGACGGUACCUGCAAAGGAAGCACCGGCUAACUCCGUGCCAGCAGCCGCGGUAAUACGGAGGAUGCGAGCGUUAUCCGGAUUUAUUGGGUUUAAAGGGUGCGCAGGCGGAGGCACAAGUCAGCGGUAAAAUCGCGGGGCUCAACCCCGCUCCGCCGUUGAAACUGUGUCCCUUGAGUGCGCGAAGGGUAGGCGGAAUGCGUGGUGUAGCGGUGAAAUGCAUAGAUAUCACGCAGAACUCCGAUCGCGAAGGCAGCCUACCGGCGCGCAACUGACGCUCAUGCACGAAAGCGUGGGUAUCGAACAGGAUUAGAUACCCUCGUAU